rfam:Gossypium raimondii Chr07_contig_805, whole genome shotgun sequence.
UGUUAAUUUUUUUUCCAUUUGUCUUGUUAAAAAUUGGUGUAGUUGACAAAAUACCAAAUAGUGACAUAUGACAUACCUCACGUACCUCAUGCUCACAUAUGUGAACCAAUUUUUAACAACACAAAUAGAUGAUUUUUUUUACA